AUUGAACGCUGGCGGCAGGCCUAACACAUGCAAGUCGAGCGAGCGGCGGACGGGUGAGUAAUGUAUGGGGACUGCCCGAUAGAGGGGGAUAACUACUGGAAACGGUAGCCAAUACCGCAUAAUAUCGGAAAACCCAAAUGGGAUUAGCUAUUAGGUGAGGUAAUGGCGCACCUAGGCGACGAUCCCUAGCUGGUCUGGGAGGGUGUUCAGCCACACUGGGACUGGGACACGGCCCAGACUCCCAGGGAGGCCUCAGUGGGGAAUAUUGCACAAUGGGCGCAAGCCUGAUGCAGCCAUGCCGCGUGUAUGAAGAAGGCCCUAGGGUUGUAAAGUACUUUCAGUCGGGAGGCGUUACCGGCAGAAGAAGCACCGGCUAACUCCGUGACAGCAGCCGCGGUAAUAC
rnacentral:rRNA from 1 species